AAGACUAUACUUGCAGGGAUCAGAUAUGGUCCAUGACUAGAGAAGUUUCUGGGACUGUGUAGAGUGUCCGAGCCCACAAGGAUUAAAAGAAACCUUCCCUCCUGAGUGAGAAGCUGCUUCUUGGUCUUGCUUUCCUGCAGCUGCCUCUUGCCAUUGCUAAUUGUUGUUCUCUUCCUUUGGGAGAGGGAGAGACAGAGAAGGCAUUCUGAGUGGA